rnacentral:misc_RNA from 1 species
CCACUUCGCAAUCCGCAAGGAUUGUCGGAUCUCCUCGAUAUCCGUCGGGAAACACUAUCAGGGGCCGUAGCUCAGCUGGGAGAGCGCCUGCUUUGCAAGCAGGAUGUCGUCGGUUCGAUCCCGUCCGGCUCCACCAACCAUCUUCUGUGAAGGUGGGGCGUGUCGAGUAGAGGAUGAUCGCCCGCGGUCAGUCAUUCGAAAAAGAGUUUGCGGCGCGCUUCGUGCUCUCCGCCUGUUCUGUUUGACAUCGUAAAGAGAAGAUUUGUUCGAACUUCACGGCUGCAAGGCUGUGAUUUGUCGCAAGGACGCUCAAUCCCUUGCCUAUGAUGGGUUUGCCUAACCGCGCCCUCGAACGGAUCUCGAGAAGCUGGUCUUUUUGUGCCAAUUCCAUUGAAGCAAGCCCCGCACAGGGUUUUGCUCAGGCGGCGAUCCUUCGGAUCGCGCAGAUGGGUAUUGGCAAUGAGAACGAUCAAGUGUCUUAAGGGCAAUUGGUGGAUGCCUUGGCAUGCACAGGCGAUGAAGGACGUGAUACGCUGCGAUAAGCUACGGGGAGGUGCGAAUACCCUUUGAUCCGUAGAUCUCCGAA